rnacentral:misc_RNA from 1 species
ACUUAAUGUUAUUCGCUUGUUAGCUAAGAUGACUGUUGCUGUUAACAAAUCUGAAAUUGUGGACAUGAUAUUACCCCUUUUCAUUGAGAGUUUAGAAGAGGGUGAUGCAUCAACUCCUGGUUUAUUGCGACUUCAACUUCUUGAUGCUGUAUCCCGCAUGGCAAGCCUGGGUUUUGAGAAGUCUUAUCGGGAGACAAUAGUUCUGAUGACAAGAAGUUACUUAAGUAAACUUUCUAUCAUAG